ensembl:lncRNA
AUGACCUUGGCCUUGCUGUUGCCACUGAGUACGAGAGCACUUCAAAUUCCCCACCUGCACUCCAGCUGGAGGAUUAUAGAAUGAAAAGAGCUGUAGUGGAUGAAACAGUUCUUUUUUUUUUUGCCAACUUGAUUUUAAUUACACAGCAUGUCAUAAACUUUAGAAAAUGUAUUUAGAUUUAAAAAAAAAUGUAUGGUGUGGAGGAGCAUGGGAGGGGGAAGUGGAUGCUUGAGCUAACUAAGGGACAAAAGAAAGUUGCUCCAAGUGAUGAACAGAUGUGAAAAUGCCGAUAAUGCACACUUGUGGAACAAAGGGGUCAUCCAGAUGAAGAAUAUUCUCUUGCUGCAGUAGUUUAUUCCUGUAAUCCUUAUGUGAAGUUUUGAUUGAAGAUUAAUGCAAUACCAGUGAGGGCUUCGUUGCUUGUGGUGCUGAUGUCAGAUGAAGUGACUUCCUCAAAGUCAUGGCAAAUCUGUGGCCAAGGAUGUUUUCUUAUUUGGAGAGUGGUGGGGCCCUGGCACUGCUACCCAGAGAGCUGUGGGUGUCCCAUCCCUGGAGGUGCUCAGGUCCAGGCUGGAUGGGGCCCUGGGCAGCCUGAGAUGGUGGGGGGCAACCUGCCCAUGGUAGGAGGUUGAAACUCAGUGGUCUUUAAGGUCCCUUCCAAUCUACACCAUUCGAUGAUUCAUGAUUCUAUGAUGCUUUGUGAUUUCCCAUAUUUCCAAUAGUGGCUUUUGGCUUCAGCUCAUCCAAAGGCCUGUAAAAGGGAGAUGGAGGUGGAAGGAGUUAUUUACACUCAGCUGGAGUGAGGUGGGAGGAUGCAAAUGGGAAAUAAUGCAACUUCCCGCGCUAUAGAUGUCAGAAUAAAUUCUCUUCCCUGUUUGAGCAGAGGUUGGAAGGGGCACACAGGGAUUGGGGGUUGACCUGAUAAAAUUCCUCCUCACUCUUGCAUUGAGAGACAGCUUGUAAAAAUUACACAAUUGUCUUUCUGGUUGUGUCAAAACAGUAGUGUGAGCUGGGGUUUGAAGACAAGCCCAACCAAUGUGAACGCUGUCUGAAGCUGGUUCCGACCUCUCCAGGCAGACGCCUCCAGAUGUCAGGAGUGACCGGCUUUGUUUUAUGUGGGAGAUAGGAGGCAACUACAAGCUGGAGUAAUUGUGAAAUUCCAUAUGGCAAAGCUUCUUGUUUGAAAGGGCAUGAAAAGAAAAAGAUAAAAAAUUCAGAACCAUGUGGAAGAAAAGGCAAACAGCUACUUGGAGCAGGUCUGGCUCCAGGGGAGCAGCUGGGCUGAGCCCCAGUCCUGUACAGACUGAGGAUUUCAUCCCAGAUCCUUUUGCCUCGCAGCCAGCUGCCUACCACCCCCAGUGCUCUCCAAAUGGCUCUGUUUGUUUGCUAUCAUCCACACACCUUUUUGCAUAUGUUGUUGUUGUGGGUGUUUUGCUCUUUUUCAGCGCUAUGUGGCAGUUUUCUGCUCUAGGCUGAAGAGCAUCUUGAUGUGAAUGUGAACCCAGAAGUUUUGACACGCCAUGAAUGCUGACUGAAAAAAAGCUGGAUCAAUAAGAACAAAAUGUAGAACAGAAGAGCUUCAUCACGCACACAAACUACUUUUCAUCCCUCUCUAAUAACUGAGGUUUCUCUCUGGUUUCUCUUAGUAGUGUGAGGCAUUAAGCAUAUCAGAACAGCUAUCAAAUGUCCAGCUAGCACAGGAAUUUUCUCAAAAAGUGGCUGAGGGUGGUUGCUAAAGAAUUAACGAGAGGGAGACAGGUAUGCAGUGACAAUCUCCCAGCCACCAGGGAUCAAUGGGCUACAUCCCUUGCCAGCUUGUGACCAGCCAACCACCUUCCAGAGAUGCCCAAUCUGUGCUUUUAGUGACUUACCCAGAAGAGGAAAGGUCCUCAGAGAGCCCAAGGGCAACAUCCUCAUCCUCAUUAGUGCUGGAUCCCUGCCAAGGGAGUCCCAUUAGUUGGCUGAACAUCAUCAUAGUCUAUCAUAGUACGCAUAGGAAGGGGUCAUUAAGUUGCUGCCAGCUCUCCAGGGGCCACGUCUACCUACUGACUUUACCACUGAAGUGGAAACUCCUGGGUAGGGACAAUUUUUGCAGGAUGUUUAUAAAGGACAUAGCACAUGACAAUACAGAGGUACAAGGCAUUGUGGCUUCUGGUUUCAAGCUCUGGACUGAAGGGCUCUAAGCCAUCUCCAGUGGGCUACACUCCUGAUUUCCCCGGGACAUGCUUUUGGGUAGCUGGGCAUUUGCUUCACACAACUUGCCUGAGUAGCAGGGCUAUUCCACAGGUGCUCUGACCAUGGGUCUCUGCAUCUUCCUAUUUCCCAGGAAUGCAUCCCAUUGACAGGUAGCCAUGCCACAGCUCAGAAAUCUGUACCAGAGCCUGAAGGGAGGUGGGGAGCUCUGCAUAUCCUCCAGUCCAGGCUGUUACCACUGAUCAGUGCCAGUGUGCAGUGUGUGCCCUGAUAUCAAUGUGAUGAAUGUUGUGCUGACUUCGACAUUGUGUGCGCCUGUGUACUGAAUAUUGUCUGCUGGAAAGUAAAUAACAGCAGAUGAGCAAAUGGGGCUGUGAAGACAUUUCAAUGUCCAUAAUGUUUCCAUCCACAAAAUGCAGCAGUUAUGCAUCAUUUUAAUGGUAGGAAUAGAUAAGCAGUCAGCUAUCCGUAUCUGGGAAAUCAAAAAGGAAAGCAACAUCAGAGGAAAUAGAUAGGCAGUGGGUGUUCAAGGGCAAUGAGUCAUCCUUGCCACAAAUACGGCUUAGAAUGAGGAAUACUAAUAAUUAGGAAACAUAUUUCAAAAGUUCAGUUCUUUCCUCCUUUCCCAAAUUAUCUUACAUGCCCUGGGGACAUUUUGGAAUGACAAUGUCUGUAUUAGGAGGCAGACAUGAGGAAAAUCCACUGUAGGAAGAAAUGACCAAAUAAUAUAGAAGAAUAAAAUUAAGCUGUAGAACUUUUUUUUUUCCUGAAACUCAGAUUGCUCCCAAAGAUAAAACUGGCAUGAUGGAGGUCAACCUGUAAGAAUAAACUUACUCGAGGUAAGGCCAGUCCCCAUUGACUUCUGUGCUUACAGGAGACAUCACCAGCUCCUCUUUUUCCCCUUCUCCAUUAUACUCAUUCUCUUGAGCUUGCUCUGCUCUGGAAUCAGUGGAUGAAAUGAAUCCAGUGGGUGAAGCUGGGAGGAGGUCAUUUGCCUCCCAUUUUGGUACUCUCUUUCCCAGCAGUGGGACCACUCAAAGCUCAUUUCAUCUGCUUUGCUGGAGCUGCCUAGAGUGGGAAGCAAAAUGGAUUUCAGCCUUGCAUCAGACUACGUUUAAGCCUAGCCCAAAUCCUGGACUGUCCGAACUUGAAAUUUCCAAAGAGCAGAUCAGGAUAAAGAAUGUGAAUUGCACUUCAACUCUUGGUGUUUAGGGGUGCUCCAGCCCUGAAGGUGUCAAGGCCAGGCUGGAUGGCGCCCUGGGCAGCCUGAUCUGAGGGGGGGCUUUAAGACCCCUUCUGACCUAAGCCAUUCUAUGAUUCUCUGAUUCUAUUCCAGCUUCCUGUGAGCCAGAAGCAGGAUAAAUGAUAGUCUCUGUCUUCAGUUAUUAGGGUUUCAAGGGAAGAAGUCUCUUUGGACCUUCAGCGUCUCUGAGUGUGACACAGUUAACAAGUAUUCCUAAAAGCUCUGAAUCACAGACAGAUGUCUGGACCUGUGCUGGCUAGAGGCUAAUCACUUUCUGAACUGGAAUAAACCCUAAACUAGCAAACACAAGUCCUGGUGAAACAGCAGGGCUGCAGCAUCAUCCCCCUUCAUUUCCCUUUUUCCCUUGGCUGCAGAGCUCUCAUUGCAGCAGCCUGACUUCAAACACUGACAAAUGUCACUGCUGACACUGCUAUGGAGGGUGCACACCAUCAUUAUAAUCUGUAUGCAUUUAGCCAUCCCAGCAUGAUAAGAGAAUGAUUAGGAGAAUAGUUAGAGAGUAAAUUAAAAACUCCCAGCAGUUUUCUGUGUGAACCUACUAACUUACAGGCAUAUUUUUUUCACAGCAUUACUGAAAAAUGCCAUUAGUUAUACCUGUGACUACAUGUUAGAUUUAAACCCCUGGUGAGAAUUUUUAUUAAUAUACAAAUAUGUUAGGGCUCUUAUGCUGCUUAAAAUGUAAUUAACCAUCUUCUGAAGAUUAAGAGUACAUAAUCAUAAAAGAACUGCACUCUUGUGCAUUUAAUUCUUCUAAUCUGCUUUAUGUUGAUGUUAGUGUGGAAGAAUAAUUGCUAGUUUGCCUUAAUAGUUUGGGUUUCUGCUAUAGGAAGAAAUUGUUAGUGAAUGUAUUUCUAAACUUCAGAUUUGGUGUGCUUGCACCGAUGAAAGACGAUAAAGUGCAAACUGAGAAUAGGAAAACUUGCUGCUUUUAUCCUGCUGCUGCAAAUGCCCAGCAGUGGCAAAGCUGUAUUUCAGCUUCGAAAAAGAGAACAGGAUGAGCAUAUCCAGUGAAUGACAAAGGUAUGAGCAAUAAACUCCAAGUAAUCUCUUUAAGCACUAAUUUAAACACAUAAGGUGUCAACCAAGCCAUGGGGGGAUCCAACAAGGCUUUUCAAGAAGGCUGUGGGAGCUGAGCUCAUCACUCAUUACAGGUGAGAGAGGAAGACUUUUGAUUUGCUGGGUCGUAGGGUGGGAAAUGAGCUUGUGAAAUGCACUUAAAAAAAAAUCAAUGCUUUUAUGUUUUCUUUAGAACAUAGUAUUGGAAUUGUCCAUCCUUCCAGGACUGCCACAAUCUUCAUACAAUGGCCAUCACGUUUAACUGAAAAGAGGUUAAAACCCUCAGAGAUGCAGACUGCCGCUCUUUAGGGGUAUUUCCUUCCUGGCAACAUGAUCGAUAAACCAUUAGGUAACUCUGAUGACUGUGCAAAAAUCAGCCUUUUUCCUCCUCCUCUCUCCCAGCGUUGCUUCCUGAAUGCUAAGAAGAGGUUAAGGAAGAGCACUGAAUGCUGCGGGUUGCCACCACUGUGCAGUGUGGGCAGUCAGUUCACAGGGGAGCCUAUGGGGCAGGAACACCCAUGGAAAACGUGGACAAAAAAAGCCCACAGUGCUCCUGCUGUGAUGAAGGGGAUGGAGACUGGCUGUUGCUCCUUGAAGACCACCAGAGCAGGGAGCUUCCUCCUCGCUUGAAGCGUCUAAGAGCUCUGCAAGGCGCUGGGAGAAAACCAGCCUCCAUCACCAACUUCAGGGGUUGGAAAAUAAUUGGAAAAGAAUCCCCCAUGUAUUUUUUCUUCUAUGACUCAUGAAUUUCAGUGGGGUCCCUCAGCGCACAUCUCUCCAUGGGGUCACAGUGCCUUGUGGCAGGCAGCUGUGUCCAGUCGGGACCCAGUUCUAGGGGAGAGCGGUGACAGUGUGACCGCAGGGAGCAGCGGUAUGCAGCCCGAGAAGGGCUCCUCGGCUGCUUUCUGCUUGUUUUCAUUACUUCCAAAUGAAUGCACAGCCUUUAUUGAAAGUCGCUUGUUUUCAGUGCAGCUUCCUUUUGAGGCAGGUGUGACAGUCAGCAUUGCUCUGGGCCUUACACCAUGCUCAGUUCUCCAGGCUUCCGGCUGCAGCUCCUCAAGUCAAAACCCACACAGACAACAUAGAUGUUCCUGUGGGCUUUCUAUGUCCGGCGAGGGUCAGCUGUGGGUUAGGGAAAGGCUGUGCCCCAGAGGGCAGUGGGCAUGGAACAGCCUGCCCAGGGCAGUGGGCAUGGCCCCAGUGCUGAGGCUCAGGGAGUGCUGGGAUGCCGCUCUCAGACAUAGGGUACGUGGGGCUGAAGGGCCCUGCCAGCCCACAGCAGGCCACGGCCCUGUGCCCGCUGUGGCUUGACUCAAAGCAUUCCAGAGAGGAAUAAAUACAGGUUAAGUACUAAAAUCCUACUGAAACCGUGCAGGAGCUGAGUGCUCAGUUCCCUCAAGAUUUUUUAGGCAGGUGGAAUAUAUCUAUCUAAGCCAAGGAAAAGGACACCAGGCUUCCAACCCUAGCUCUGCUUAAGGUCUGUUACUGCAAAUAACCUUGUACAAAGUGGAGUAGAUAACCUGAUUAAUUCUGCUUGCCAUUCAAGCUUGCAUUAAAUAAGACGUGUAACUUCAGACAGAAAGCCAGCCAUUCUUCUGUUCUAACAGUCUGCUGUCAACGCAGGACAAUAAAAUAUGAAUAUUUUAGAUUCAUAGUGCAGACAAAUAGGAAAUAGGAGCUGUAUUGUGCUUCACAUGCACGGCUAGCUCAGUAAUGCUAACGUGAUUAUCUCAUUGAACUUUUGUGCCAUCGCUUAAGGGCAGCUUUGUCUUGCUUAGCUGGGAUGUACAUAUUUGUUUCUUCCAUGCAUAGCUCCAUAGUCUUUUUUAAGCUUGUGGAAAUGGGAAAAUCUGAUUUUCCUCCUCAGCCACAAGGUAGCAUCAUUCCUUGGCAUUGCUUGGACCAGUACGUCUUAAGUGCAAUUUUUACAGGUUCCUACCAAAAUAUUUUAAUGUCUGCAGCUAGAUUUCCAGACAGAAACAUGGGAAAAUCACACCAGAAUUUAAAAUAUGAAUUAUAGCGUGGUUCACUCUCUGUAACAGAGAGACAAGGAGGGUAAUCAAAACAUGAAAUAUUCUGAUUCAUUCCUCUCCCUAAGCAGAAAAAAAAUGUUUUCAGGAUUAGUGGGGGUUUGGUCUAGAUGGGCUGCCAUUUGGUUAUUCAGCUGUGAGAUUCAUUACCUGGGCAGGCUGGCUUUGCCAGCCCUGAGAUCACAGCAAUAGCAUGCACCUGACGUGGGGUGGCAAAAAAAGCUGGGUGAAUUCAACUCUAAUGAAAACAUCUUGCCACACUGACCCAAAAAACCAUCAAUCUGAGUACUCAGUUCCCUUUUUAAUAUCUAAAUCCUUUUAUUUUCUCUGUGCUGGAUUUGUUUUAUAUUUCCCUUUUAAGUUAGCACUUUGUGUGGGGGUGGAUGUUACGAAGACCAGUUUUGAUGGAAAGUAGAUUGAGCCUUGAAGACUUUCAUCACUGCAUUAUAGCUCUGCUCCCUCCACCCCUCACUGAUAUCCCUCCAUUUACAUGAGUAUUGGACAGGACUUAGGAAUCAGCCCUGACUUGGCCAGUUUUAUUGGGUUUAUGUGGCAAUGUUUUGGUAGCAGGAGGCUGCAGGUGUGGCUUGUGUGAAUAGGCCAAGACCUGCCCCAUCUUAAAUCAAAGCCAGUUCCAACCAGCUCUAAAGGUGACCGACUGCUGCCCACAGCUGAGCCAAUCGGUGAUGCUGGUGGCACCUCAGCGAUAACACACUUAAGAAAGGGUAAAAUACAUUCUGCAGCAGUUGUGAGAGAGAGGAAUGAGAAAAUGUGAGAGAAAACUCUGCAGACACCAAGGUUAGGGAAGAAGGAGGGGGAAGAGGUUCUCUAGGCACCGGAGCACGCAUUUCUUGACAGCCCAUGAAGAGGACCAUGGUGAUGGAAGCAGACCAUGGAGGAACCCAUGCCACAGCAGGUGGAUAUCCUGAAGGAAGCUGAAGCCAGCCAACACAGGAGCAGGCUGGAGCUGUAUCCAUGCAGAAGGGACCAUGCUGGAGCAGUCUCCUGUUUAUGGAUGGUACCUUGCACAGAGGACCCGUGCUGUAGCAGUUCUUGAAGGAUUGCUUCCCAUGGGAAGGACCCCAUUCUGGAGCAGGGGAAGAGUGUGAGGAGGAAGGAGUGACAGAUGUGGACUGCUGGAACUGACAGCAAUGCCCAUUCUCCAUCCUCUGUGCUGCUCCUUCACCCUGCUAUGGUCAUGUCCCAGGGCAAAUAAUGGCUGUGCAUCCAGCCUCUGUCCUUUCUUCCCUUAGAGUAUUUACAGGCAGAUUUAACAGUUCCUCAUUGACUGAAAGGGUUCAAUAUGCUAGCGAAACUUAAAAAUUCAAAUGAUUAUUAACAAUUUUAAUGAACUUUGUCAUAAAAUGUAACUAUAAAGAAUGCCCCAUAAAAAAAAAAAAAAAGACCUUUCACAACCAGAAGUAAAAAAUAACCUUUAAAAAUUCUUAUGAAAUGUAUGAUGAAACUUAGAGUUGUAGAAUCAUAGAAUGGCCUGGGUUGAAAAGGGCCAUAAUGAUCAUCGAGUUUCAACCCCCCUGCUAUGUGCAGUGUCACCAACCACCAGACCAGGCUGCCCAGAGCCAAAGUUGGUCCCUCAGUGUGCAUUAGCAUUGAUGUAGAGAUGUAGAAGUUAUAAAGGCCACUGUAGCUCAGGGAUUUAGUGCAGGUAAUAAGAUGAAAAGAAUGGGCACAGUCUCCUUUUGGUAGAAUUGGUAUGACAACAUCUCAAGUCCCAGCUGAGCAGGGAUCAAAUCAAGAUGUACAGUUCUGUAUAAAAGUGAACGCAAAGCUAUGUUGGAUGCUCAGCAUGCAAAGGAAGGUUCAGGCUAUGUUAGAGAGUCUUAAGAAGAAUUUGGCAGCUUGCUGGGGAGGAGGGAAGGGAUGCAGAACAGAUGUUCUGAAGAUCCCUCUGGUUUUAACAUCUGCUCCAUAGUUCUUGCAACUGGGAGGGUCUGGAUUUGAUGACCAGUUUCACAUUCCUGAAAUGGCCAUAAUCUCUGCCCUGAAGCCCUCUGAGCCAAAGCAAGGGGUGAGUAAAUAUAUACUUACAUUAACUUCUGGACAAUGAUUUCAACUUGCUGAAGUCAAUGGGACUUUGACGCAUGAUGGAAGCUAAUCAGGUACUUACCUAGUUUCCUCAUUAGUGAUGAAUUGGUCGUUUACUUUAGAGGACAUAACAUAACCACUGAAAGCAUAGCAAAUUCUUCAUGUUAAAUUGGCCUCUAUGGAGCUCUAUGAGUGAGUGAGCGUGUAUAUAUGUGUUCAGAGGGCAGAAGGUUGUUCUUUUCCUCUCUGGUUUUAUUCUCUUCCUCUCCACUUUCUAUAGUAUCCUCUUCCUAUUUUAUUUGUUGUUCUCUCCCCUCUUCCUCACAGUUUUUGUUUCAUGUUCUUUUUCACAGCAUUUUAGCCAUAGUAUCUUUAAGAUCUUUACAGUCUCUAUGUUUAAAGACUGACCCCGCCUCAAGGAACCCUAAAAUGCCGUGUCUCAGAUUCCUUAUAAAUGUGGAGAGGGGCAAAAUGCAGCUUUCCCAUUUCCCCAGCACUUUUUGGUUCUCUCAGCUAAUCUACACUAAUGUUUUUUGAUUUUAAUAUUACUACAAUUUUGGAGAUAUCAGUUACUUCCACUUUAUAUAUCAGAAUCUCUGCACUAUGAAACCAAAAUGCAUAGCCGUGCUUUUCCUGAAGAGGCCAUUGUCAAGGAUUUCCCAAGCCCAAAUAUGAUAUAACUCUGAGUCUAAAACUUCUGGGAUGCAUCAGACAUCCUCUCCAUACACAGAUCAACUACACAUAAGAUGAACAGUAGGUCAAAAUUUUCUCUGAGAGUGUAUGGUAAUUGCUUAUGCAAUGAAACAGACGGUGAAAUGUUUGGAAGCCAUCACUCCUCUCAUCCAUGAGAAGCCUGGAGACCUUAGUCUAAUGUGUAAUAACCAAGAACUCUUCCUGGAUGGAAGAGAGGACACUUCCAGCAAAACCUACUUAGCCCAAGUGAGAGCACAACAUUUCCAGAUAUGGCUGUGUGAUAGUUUGAUGUACAUGAGGCAAGAAAGGGCUUAGAGCAGAGAAGAUAUUCUCAAGGUAUAUUGUGCACCGAGAAUAAACAACCAUAUGGAGGAAAGCCCCGAGGGAUUUCUCUCUUCUUUCCCCUGAAGCUCAAAUACUGCCAGAGGAAACCCAACAGAUUUGGGUUUCUUGGUGGAAGUGGCACACUUUUGAUGUUCCAAAAUAAUGCAUAUAUCUCUCUGCUUCUAUUUUCUGAAUCCUUGACAUCAAGCAAGGCAUUAAAAUGUACACUGGCAAGGAUACAGGCAAGGAUAUAGGCAUCUCAGAAUUCUCUCUGUCACAGAAUCACAGAAUUCUAGAGUGGUUUGGGUUGGAAGGGACCUUUAAGAUCAUCUAGAUCCAACUUCCCUGCUAGAGCCAGGGACCCCUCCCUCUAGAGUUAGAGAGGUUUCUCCCAGCCCCAUCCAGCCUGGCCAAGGAUUGGACAGCCACAACAUCUCUGAUCGUAUAUGGCUCUUGUCAAAUGCUUGAUACUGUAGGCAGCAAGAUCCUGCAUGGGAAGGUGGGCCGUCAUCUUAUUUUCCAUUGGAAAGUUAUGUUUUUUUGGAUGAUUUAUGCCUGAAACAAUGCUAAUCUAUGUUAAUGUGUAACUUAGCUUGGAUGUCAGAGCAUGUGGGUGGUUAUUGACAGUGCAGGUUCACAAAGAAUCCCAGUAUAGCUGUACAUCAGCGGACUAUUGCCUUUAUCUGGCAGCCCAAGGAAAUAGCAAUUAGGAUCAGAUGGGGCCAACCAAUGACUUGUCAUAGUCCAGCUAUAUGGUUAUGUUGGUUAUGCUGUCUUUUUCUUUGCAAACCACAUGUUAAAAUCACCUUUAGGCUAGCUCCUAUGCUACUGUAAUUCAUGAAAUAAUUAGCAGCAAGAAAUGAAAGCAAAUACAUCUAAUGAAACAACAGCUGGAUUAAUAGAUCCCUGUAUUUGGAGCUUUUCUGAGCAGCCAGGAAUUACCUGCUAGGGACAUGUUCCCAUUCAUUGCAACACACAGCUGGCAGUUCAUGGCACGCAGUGUGCUACAUUCCUAAGACUCAAUUUCUUCUUUGCUUUCUAACUGGAAAAUCAAAUCCUGCCCUGGACUCUGACUGCAGCCACUGCAAAGGGUAAACAUACCACCGCCUUUCCAGCAGCGUCCCUUUCUAAUGAGAUCCAGCCCAAACUAUUACACUAAGGCUCAGUGAUGACAGCGACCUUUAUGGCUUUGGCAGGACCACUAGCACUCAAGGUAUUUUCUCCUGCAAUACCCCUCUUGUAGCAAGAAAUAAGAAAGUACAGGAGUGGAGAAACCAGUCAUUUCUCAGUUUAAAUGCUGUAUUUUACAGCAGCCUAGAGGAAUGUUUUGAUCCUGACGCAACACUUAACUGACCUGAAACAGAAGCAGCUGUUUCUCUACUGUCUGAGUGCCUCAGCCUAGCAAAAUGCAGAAGUGUGAAGUGAAGGUCUCUGCUGAGAUAUGUAUAAUUACAGAUUUUGUGCAUGUUAGGCACUCUCUAUUUUACACUGUUCAAUAGGCCUUGUCUGCAGCAUAAAGUGGUAUGGAAAAUUACUGGCUUAAAAAUGCAUCUGCUAAGGCAGAGCUUGAGGUCUGCAUCACAGGCAUGCGUGGUCCCACUCUGCUUCUGAAAGUAAGAUCAGAGGUAAUUCUCCUCUCCAGAAGAGGGACCACAGAGCUCUGUGAUGGGGGAGGCAGAGUCAGGACAGGAUCCAGAUGUGCUGCAGAGGGGAACUGCUGCAGUGUGGUCUGAUGGGCUGUGCACGCUGCUCUGGGUAUCGGCCAGGGAGCAAGGGGAGCUGCUUUACUCUCAUCUCUUCCUCCCCUUUAUAGAAGGUGAGCAGCACCUACAAAGCAGCAUCUGGGUGCUCCCCAGGCUGACAGAUGCUUGCAGCCAGGCUGUAAAUGGAAAAUGGGAUGGGUAUUUGAGGUCUGCUUCACAGUGUCACAGCUUUCUCAUUGAGCUGAACCAAAGAAAUCAACAACAAAAACAGACCCAGUGGACUGCAGGAUUUGUAUUGCACUGCUCACCAAUCAGAACUGAUGACAGGUGAAAACAGAUAAUAAAUCCAAUUGGCAAAGCUUGAGGCUGUUAACGCUGGCCCAAACCAUUUGAGAUUGGCAUCCUAAAAGCUUUUCUUCGUACUGAUUCCUAAUGGCUAAUGUACCAGAGGCUCUCCCUCUCCAAUCACCUUGGUGUGCAUCAGGCUGGCUUUCAAUUUCCCUGUGUCCUCUGCACAGGAAAGAGAAAAGAAAUCAAACAAGGGCAUACGGUCCACUCAGCAGAAUAUGCAAACAGGGGAGCUUGGAGACGAGUCAGCUGGAGACUGGGCUGCCUCCUGGAACUGGGGUGGAACAGCAAGGAAGAGAGUAGUGAGACGCUGUGAUUUAUAUCAUGUAUUUGUCACACGGCACUAUAUGUUAGCAUACAUACACACACAUCCACAGCAUAUGUGUUGACUCAUGGAUUCUCUGGCUGCUCAGCAAGCUUCCAGCCAUCGCUCUUGGUUGAGACAUGGCAGGUUAGUUACUUUUGCCCUUCACGUGAUCCUGCAUCAAGGAGAAACUAAAGCAAUCUUGACUUUUUGCUACUAAAUCUCCACGUUCCAUUUCCAGGACCCUCUGCUCACAGCUGUUAGAACACUUAUGCAGACAUUCUUUUUUCUUUUUUCUCCUACUGAUGAACUGAGCUCUCAAACUAUAUUCCAGCUGGGAACGUACAAUUAAUUGUCACAUGAAACUAAAGACUGCUUCCAUAUGUCUUCUGAUGCACGCCAUACAUACAGGUGUCUUUGCCUCGGAUGCACAUACCUUCUGUCUGGUGCUAAGAGGGAGAGAAAGCUCAGCCUGACGUCCAUCCUGCAAACUCGUGAACACGGUCUUAUUCUGCCUGGAGAAGAGAAGGCUCUGGAGAGACCUCAUUGUGGCCUUUCAGUACUUGAAGGGAAUUAUAAGCAGAAGGGGGACCUGUUCCAGUGCCUCAUCACCCUACACCAGAUUUGGUGUACACAAGUCUGAUUGCCCAGAGAGCUGCGGGUGCCCCAUCCCUGGAGGUGCCCAAGGCCAGUCUGCAUGGGGCCCUGGGCAGCCUGAGCUGCUGGGGGGCAACCAGCCCAGAGCAGGGGUUGGGGCUGGAUGGGCUUUAAGGUCCCUUCCAAUCCAAGUCAUUCUGUGAUUCUACGAUUCUAUGCAUAGAGUAACUAAUGGUUUCUAGACAUCUGCAAAGGUAUUUUGGAUCCCAGAAGUUUUCUGAGAUAACGUUGCUAGGAAUAUUUCAUGCCUCUUCCUUAGAGCUGUUCUUUGCUCCUCCUACAGUGUCAGUCAAAAAAGUACAUCUUGCUAGAUGACUCAAAGUCCUGAGCCCCCAACACGUUCACUAGUGCUCAUUAACAUGCCCCUGAAAAUGGGAAAAAUUAAGCAGCAAAAGACCUUUGUAGGUGUUGUCCUCAGGACUGCCCACUUUCAUUCUCUUCUGAAGGUUUCCCAGCACUGUGCUCAGCUCAUUAAGUAGAGAGCUUGAGAUCUAUCUAUCUUUCCCCUUGUGAGACUGAGUGCUCAGACACAAACAAGGUCUUUUUGUACUGAAUCAAUAAAUCAGCAUCUUAAAUCGUGAACCAAUAAAUCAGUAUCCUAAAGGAUUUCUGAGCUGACUAUCUGUCUGUAAUAUUUACCUGAGGGCCUGAUGUAGACUUUGUCCAUGCUGGUGCAAGGCCCAUGAAGCCUGGCCAGGGAACCAGCUCCAUCACAUCAGCAACAUUUGCUCUCCCUAAGAGAUGCUCAGAUAAAUCAUAGAACCAUAGAAUGUCUUGAGGUGAAAGGGACCCUUAAAGGUCAUCUAGUCCAGCUCCUCUGCAAUGAACAGGGAUACCUAUAGGUUGAUCAGAUACUCAGAGCCCCGUCCAGCCUGACCUUGAGUGUCUCCAGGGAUGGGGCAUCCACCACCUCUCUGGGCAAUCUGUGCCAAUGCCUCACCAUCCCUAUUUAGACAACUUCUUCCUUAUAUCCAAUCUAAAUCUUUUCUCUUUUUAGAUUGAAACUAUUUCCCCUUUUUUUUUCCUAUGACAACAGAUUCUGCUAAAGCAUCUGUUCCCCUUGGGCA